GCGUUCGUGGUGUAAUGGUCAGCACACUCGGCGCGUAUUCCAGAGGUCCGAGGUUCGAUACCCGGCGAGCGCA
rnacentral:tRNA from 1 species